GACGGGUAGGGCGGGAGUAAACCAACUGACUUUAUUAGCGAUAUUAAUGUUAACCUUUGACUUGGUUCUAGGGGCUGUGCAUUGCACUUAAGACCGUUGUUCCUUUGUGCUAACACUGGCAAUACAUGGCAACUCUAAUAAAUCUAGAUCGGUGUCAGAAACAUGCCAUUUUUCUCUAUAUAGUGAACUACUUUUGACCAGGGAAUAGGGUGCUAUAUAGGGUUCCAUUUGGGACGACCCCUAAACCUGCAUCCCCCCCCCCCCCGUAGAUCUCAGUGCUUCGUCUCCGCAGUCAGCAGCUGGAGGAUGAGAACGGGCUGCUGUCGGAGAAGAACGCCCAGAAUGCAGCAGGAGUGGAGGGGUUGAGCCAACAGCUGGGGGAACUGCUCAGACAGAGUGAGAGACAGGAAGCUGUCAGAGACCAGCAACGUACUGUACCGGAGGAUGAGAGGAUGAAGAUGGCAGUGUGUGUGUCUGCCCUGGAGGCGGAGCUAACCAAGGCUGUGGAAGGGACUGUACUACUAAAGGAAGGCAAGGCCCAGCUGGUGCUACAACUCAAUACCCUCAGAGAUAAGGUAGCUAAGAUGGGGGCUGUAGAGUGCCGGCUCUCCUCCCUCCUGCAGGAGCGCAAGGCUUUGGAAAAACAAACCCAGGGAUUACGCAACCAGCUAGCCAAGUCUCAGGAGAGAAACCAGGUGUUGGAGGAAAGCCUGCAGUCUG
rnacentral:lncRNA from 13 species